rnacentral:rRNA from 1 species
UACAGAGGGUGCGAGCGUUAAUCGGAAUUACUGGGCGUAAAGCGCGCGUAGGCGGCUAAUUAAGUCGGAUGUGAAAUCCCCGAGCUCAACUUGGGAAUUGCAUACGAUACUGGUUAGCUAGAGUAUGGGAGAGGAAGGUAGAAUUCCAGGUGUAGCGGUGAAAUGCGUAGAGAUCUGGAGGAAUACCGAUGGCGAAGGCAGCCUUCUGGCCUAAUACUGACGCUGAGGUGCGAAAGCAUGGGGAGCAAACAGG